CCUACGGGUGGCAGCAGUGGGGAAUAUUGCACAAUGGGCGCAAGCCUGAUGCAGCCAUGCCGCGUGUGUGAAGAAGGCCUUCGGGUUGUAAAGCACUUUCAGCGGGGAGGAAGGCGGUGAGGUUAAUAACCUCAUCGAUUGACGUUACCCGCAGAAGAAGCACCGGCUAACUCCGUGCCAGCAGCCGCGGUAAUACGGAGGGUGCAAGCGUUAAUCGGAAUUACUGGGCGUAAAGCGCACGCAGGCGGUCUGUCAAGUCGGGUGUGAAAUCCCCGGGCUCAACCUGGGAACUGCAUUCGAAACUGGCAGGCUAGAGUCUUGUAGAGGGGGGUAGAAUUCCAGGUGUAGCGGUGAAAUGCGUAGAGAUCUGGAGGAAUACCGGUGGCGAAGGCGGCCCCCUGGACAAAGACUGACGCUCAGGUGCGAAAGCGUGGGGAGCAAACAGGAUUAGAUACCCUUGUAGUC
rnacentral:rRNA from 1 species